CCUUCGCCGCCGUCGCCGGGGCUGGCCAGCCUCCCGCCCGCCGCUCUCCGUCGACGCAGGCAACUUUGGGAGUCCCAGGCUAGCCGAUAAACAGAGGGACUGCGAACAUUCUGUUACAAAGCUCCAUUGAAGACUGGAUAUCCUGGAAGGGUCAGUGAACACACUCCUUUAAUCCCAGGAAGCAUCACCCUUGGCAUUAUGACCAGCAAGGUGUGAGAAACUGAAGCCUCCUGCCAACAGCCAUGUAUGUGAGCUUGGAAGUGGAUUCUCCAACUCUCUAGAUGACUGCAGCCCUGGUCACUAACUUCACCCCAAGUCUGAGCUGCUCCGAGA